GAAAAUCCCUGAACUGAGAGGUUCUGAGACCGUCCAGGCGUGUGAACACACCCCUCCACAGGGAGAGGGUGGCACGCCAGAGCUCCUGGGUUUGGGAACCUUCUAGAUGUCAUCCUACAUUCUUCUUCAUCUGCGUGCUCAGCUGUAUCCUUUAUCAUAGCGGUUUUCAUAUAACAAAUAGAACAAUCUGAUCCUUUGGCCACCAAUUUGGAUUAAAACCGUAACCCCUGCCCUGACGGUUGGAAUAAAUCUUGUGAGGAAAAAGGCAAAACUCCCAGAGCAAAAUUUGGGAAGGUAUUUUGGAUAGUUUCUCCUUUUGUUUUUGGACAUCAUCGCAUUGGUUAAAGGAGUCUUCGGAGAAGGCAAGGGGAGCCCGGAAAGGCUCUCUUCUCACCUUGAGGCACAAAUGUGAUGGCCAGAAUGGAGAUUCCAAGAAGAAACAUGAAAAGCGUUUGGCUUAUUUGACGACCCAGGUGAUUCAGCGCCAAAAAUGCAACAUAAUUGGCUGGGAGGUUGACGACGCCAAAAAGAACUUGGAACAGGAAAACAUUGCUCCCCAUGUACUGGAGGUGGAGAAUCAGGCCAAAAAAGGACAUGAAGUUUGCAAAUCUGUGGUGAACAAAGAUGAAAGACACUUAUUGUAAGGUUUAGAGCCUAUGCGUUACAAAUGAUGAUAGUAAAUACUAACCAGACAGCUAGUGAUUUGUUUUAAAGUAUAAAAACAUGGUAUGUUUCAUGGACUAUUUCCUGUAAUGAUUUUAUAACUAUAAAAUAAUUGUAUAAUUGGAGCUCCUGAUUGUUAAGUUCUGGGGAAGGGCUUGCGGUGUUUUUGUGAAGGAUGCAUGAUGGAGUUUUCUAGGGUUUUAGAGUUUUCUCUGUAUCUUCAUCUGGGUGACGGUUGCAUAUGGAAAUAAACGUGGAGCUGUAUAUUUUUGUGCGCUUUACUGUUUGUAAUUUUACCUCAUUUAAAGUGGAAAAAAGCGAAGAAAGUUGAAGUCAA